rnacentral:misc_RNA from 1 species
CCCAACAAACUACUCUCUGCUUGGUACUUUUGGCUCAACGUGCACUCCCCUUUAUUGGUUUCAUUUCCGUUCAAUCUAAUCUCGAAUUUGAAUCUACAGUGGGAAAUGGGUCGGGAUAGCUCAGGCGGUAGAGCAGAGGACUGAAAAUCCUCGUG